GCCGAAUUCAGCAGAAGAAACUUUCAUCACUCUCUCUAACCCACCACCAGCAAGAAGUUACGUGCAGAGCUACAAAUUUUCUCAAGUUGACUCCAGUUUCUAUUCCAACUACUUACCAGAAAAGGCCAUCUGUGUAUUGCUGGGAAAAGUAUAAAGUUCCCAACUGAGCAUUCUGCCUCGGCCUUAUGAUAAUGAUGAAAACCCGAUAUGUUCUUCUGUCUCUCUUCACAUUCACAAUCUUUCUCAAUCCAGG